CCGUGACCCCAGGUCAGGCGGGACUACCCGCUGAGUUUAA
rnacentral:rRNA from 1 species